GUAUCUGUAUACUGUCUAGACUUUAAGUAUUUUCAAAUUAUAUUUUAAUUUAGAGUUCAGGAUCCAAUGGAAUUUUUUGAAGGCUGGAAAUGUUUUGUGGUCUGGUCUGAUAAAAGCAUUUUUUCGAGGGAGACGGGAAAGAACAAAAAGAACGCUAACAGAGUCUCUGUCCAACUCGCUCUCAGAUGACAACUUACUGGACCGAAAAAGAAGGAAGGGAAGAAUGAAAGGAAGAAAUGAGGAGAAAUGGAAAGAAAAGAGACAGCUCGCAGAGUGUUGACCGAGCUCGCUCUCGGAUGUCAACAACUGGACCGAAAGGAAGGAGAGAAGAAAAAGAAAGACAGAAAGACAAACAAGUCUACGACUUUGAGAGCUUCGACCGAACCCGAUCACGGAACCGAUAACUCGGUAAUAGAAUCCAUACCAAACCAAUGGAAAGAAAACAAGGCCAACGUAUAAUGAAAUGGAUGUUUCUUUAUUUACAGUUACAGGGCAGAGGGGGUUCGUCAAUAUCCUUUGUAACCAUUUUCAUCAAAUGCCCUCUCUCUCUCUCUCUCUCUCUCUCUCUCUCUCUCUCUCUCUCUCUCUCUCUCUCUCUCUCUCUCUCUCUCUCUCUCUCUCUCUCUCUCUCUCUCUCUCU
ensembl:lncRNA